rnacentral:rRNA from 1 species
CCUACGGGAGGCAGCAGUGAGGAAUAUUGGACAAUGGGCGCAAGCCUGAUCCAGCCAUGCCGCGUGCAGGAUGACGGUCCUAUGGAUUGUAAACUGCUUUUGUACAGGAAGAAACAGUUCUACGUGUAGAACCUUGACGGUACUGUAAGAAUAAGGAUCGGCUAACUCCGUGCCAGCAGCCGCGGUAAUACGGAGGAUCCAAGCGUUAUCCGGAAUCAUUGGGUUUAAAGGGUCCGUAGGCGGUUUAGUAAGUCAGUGGUGAAAGCCCAUCGCUCAACGGUGGAACGGCCAUUGAUACUGCUAAACUUGAAUUAUUAGGAAGUAACUAGAAUAUGUAGUGUAGCGGUGAAAUGCUUAGAGAUUACAUGGAAUACCAAUUGCGAAGGCAGGUUACUACUAAUGGAUUGACGCUGAUGGACGAAAGCGUGGGUAGCGAACAGGAUUAGAUACCCUGGUAGUCCACGCCGUAAACGAUGGAUACUAGCUGUUGGAAGCAAUUUCAGUGGCUAAGCGAAAGUGAUAAGUAUCCACCUGGGGAGUACGUUCGCAAGAAUUGAAAUUCAAUGAAUUGACGGCUUGAGAGNGCGAGACGACACGAGGGAGGAGG